UGGGGAAUAUUGGACAAUGGAGGAAACUCUGAUCCAGCAAUUCUGUGUGUGUGAAGAAGGUUUUAGGACUGUAAAACACUUUUAUUAGGGAAGAAAAAAAUGACGGUACCUACAGAAGAAGCAACGGCUAAAUACGUGCCAGCAGCCGCGGUAAUACGUAUGUUGCGAGCGUUAUCCGGAAUUAUUGGGCUUAAAGGGCAUCUAGGCGGUAAGACAAGUUGAAGGUGAAAACCUGUGGCUCAACCAUAGGCUUGCCUACAAAACUGGUGAACUAGAGUACUGGAAAGGUGGGUGGAACUACACGAGUAGAGGUGAAAUUCGUAGAUAUGUGUAGGAAUGCCGGUGAUGAAGAUGACUCACUGGACCGAAACUGACGCUGAAGUGCGAAAGCUAGGGGAGCAAACAGG
rnacentral:rRNA from 1 species